rnacentral:snoRNA from 1 species
CACGUGUGAUGACACCUCGGAGAUGCUGCAGCUCCCAAGUGUGCAGCAGAGAGCCAACCUUGGAAAGCUGAGUGUG